CCUACGGGUGGCAGCAGUGGGGAAUAUUGCACAAUGGGGGAAACCCUGAUGCAGCGACGCCGCGUGAGUGAAGAAGUAAUUCGUUAUGUAAAGCUCUAUCAGCAGGGAAGAAAAUGACGGUACCUGAGUAAGAAGCCCCGGCUAACUACGUGCCAGCAGCCGCGGUAAUACGUAGGGGGCAAGCGUUAUCCGGAUUUACUGGGUGGAAAGGGAGCGUAGACGGCAGUGCAAGUAUGGAGUGAAAGGCGGGGGAGCAACCCCCGGACUGCUCUGGAAACUGUACGGCUGGAGUGCAGGAGAGGUAAGUGGAAUUCCUAGUGUAGCGGUGAAAUGCGUAGAUAUUAGGAGGAACACCAGUGGCGAAGGCGGCUUACUGGACUGUAACUGACGUUGAGGCUCGAAAGCGUGGGGAGCAAACAGGAUUAGAUACCCCGGUAGUC
rnacentral:rRNA from 1 species